UCCUUGUUUGCCAGCCCGUAAUGGUGGGAACUCCAGGGAGACUGCCGGUGAUAAACCGGAGGAAGGUGGGGACGACGUCAAGUCAUCAUGGCCCUUACGAGUAGGGCUACACACGUGCUACAAUGGCGUAUACAGAGGGCUGCCAACUCGCGAGAGUGAGCGAAUCCCAGAAAGUACGUCGUAGUCCGGAUUGGAGUCUGCAACUCGACUCCAUGAAGUCGGAAUCGCUAGUAAUCGUGGAUCAGAAUGCCACGGUGAAUACGUUCCCGGGCCUUGUACACACCGCCCGUCACACCAUGGGAGUGGGCUGCACCAGAAGUAGAUAGCUUA
rnacentral:rRNA from 1 species